UACGUAGGGUGCGAGCGUUGUCCGGAAUUAUUGGGCGUAAAGAGCUUGUAGGCGGUCUGUCGCGUCUGCUGUGAAAAUCCGGGGCUCAACCCCGGACUUGCAGUGGGUACGGGCAGACUAGAGUGUGGUAGGGGAGACUGGAAUUCCUGGUGUAGCGGUGAAAUGUGCAGAUAUCAGGAGGAACACCGAUGGCGAAGGCAGGUCUCUGGGCCACUACUGACGCUGAGAAGCGAAAGCAUGGGGAGCGAACAGG
rnacentral:rRNA from 1 species